CCUACGGGAGGCAGCAGUGAGGAAUAUUGGUCAAUGGGCGAGAGCCUGAACCAGCCAAGUCGCGUGAAGGAUGACGGCCCUACGGGUUGUAAACUUCUUUUGUCAGGGAGCAAUUGAGUCCACGUGUGGUCUUAGCGAGAGUACCUGAAGAAAAAGCAUCGGCUAACUCCGUGCCAGCAGCCGCGGUAAUACGGAGGAUGCGAGCGUUAUCCGGACUUAUUGGGUUUAAAGGGUGCGUAGGCGGUCGGAUAAGUUAGAGGUGAAAUCCCGAGGCUCAACUUCGGAAUUGCCUCUGAUACUGUUCGGCUAGAGAGUAGUUGCGGUAGGCGGAAUGUAUGGUGUAGCGGUGAAAUGCUUAGAGAUCAUACAGAACACCGAUUGCGAAGGCAGCUUACCAAGCUACUUCUGACGUUGAGGCACGAAAGUGCGGGUAUCGAACAGGAUUAGAUACCCCAGUAGUC
rnacentral:rRNA from 1 species